AUGGACGCUGGCGGCGUGCCUAAUCCCUGCAAGUCGAGCGAACAGACGAGGAGCUUUCUCCUCUGCCGUUAUCGGCGGACGGGUGAGUAACCCGUGGUUAACCUACCUAUACGACUGGGUUAACUUCGGGAAACCGGAGCUAAUACCGGAUAACAUGUUGAACCGCAUGGUUCAACAGUGAAAUACGGUCUUGCUGUCACUUAUUGAUGGAUCCUCGCCGCAUUAGCUAGUUGGUAAGGUAACGGCUUACCAAGGCAACGAUGCGUAGACGACCUGAGAGGGUGAUCGGCCACACUGGAACUGAGACACGGUCCAGACGACUACGGGAGGCAGCAGUAGGGAAUCUUCCGCAAUGGGCGAAAGCCUGACGGAGCAACGCCGCGUGAGUGAUGAAGGUCUUCGGAUCGUAAAACUCUGUUAUGAGGGAAGAACAAAUGUGUAAGUAACUAUGCACGUAUUGACGGUACCUAAUCAGAAAGCCACGGCUAACUACGUG
rnacentral:rRNA from 1 species